rnacentral:rRNA from 1 species
ACGUAGGGUGCGAGCGUUAAUCGGAAUUACUGGGCGUAAAGCGUGCGCAGGCGGUUUGUUAAGUCUGAUGUGAAAGCCCCGGGCUCAACCUGGGAAUGGCAUUGGAAACUGGCAAGCUGGAGUGUGGCAGAGGGGGGUGGAAUUCCGCGUGUAGCAGUGAAAUGCGUAGAGAUGCGGAGGAACACCGAUGGCGAAGGCAGCCCCCUGGGCCGACACUGACGCUCAGGCACGAAAGCGUGGGGAGCAAACAG